ACGGGAGGCAGCAGUGGGGAAUAUUGGACAAUGGGGGAAACCCUGAUCCAGCGACGCCGCGUGAGUGAAGAAGUAUUUCGGUAUGUAAAGCUCUAUCAGCAGGGAAGAUAAUGACGGUACCUGACUAAGAAGCCCCGGCUAACUACGUGCCAGCAGCCGCGGUAAUACGUAGGGGGCAAGCGUUAUCCGGAUUUACUGGGUGUAAAGGGAGCGUAGACGGAAGGCCAAGUCUGAUGUGAAAACCCAGGGCUCAACCCUGGGACUGCAUUGGAAACUGGUCAUCUAGAGUGCAGGAGGGGUAAGCGGAAUUCCUAGUGUAGCGGUGAAAUGCGUAGAUAUUAGGAGGAACACCAGUGGCGAAGGCGGCUUACUGGACUGUAACUGACGUUGAGGCUCGAAAGCGUGGGGAGCAAACAGGAUUAGAUACCCUGGUA
rnacentral:rRNA from 1 species